rnacentral:rRNA from 1 species
GGAUGAACGCUGACAGAAUGCUUAACACAUGCAAGUCAACUUGAAUUUGGGUUUUUAACUUAGGUUUGGGUGGCGGACGGGUGAGUAACGCGUAAAGAACUUGCCUCACAGCUAGGGACAACAUUUGGAAACGAAUGCUAAUACCUAAUAUUAUGAUAAUAGGGCAUCCUAUAAUUAUGAAAGCUAUAAGCGCUGUGAGAGAGCUUUGCGUCCCAUUAGCUAGUUGGAGAGGUAACGGCUCACCAAGGCGAUGAUGGGUAGCCGGCCUGAGAGGGUGAUCGGCCACAAGGGGACUGAGUCACGGCCCUUACUCCUACGGGAGGCAGCAGUGGGGAAUAUUGGACAAUGGACCGAGAGUCUGAUCCAGCAAUUCUGUGUGCACGAUGAAGUUUUUCGGAAUGUAAAGUGCUUUCAGUUGGGAAGAAACAAAUGACGGUACCAACAGAAGAAGUGACGGCUAAAUACGUG